rnacentral:rRNA from 1 species
UACGAAGGGGGCUAGCGUUGCUCGGAAUCACUGGGCGUAAAGCGCACGUAGGCGGCUUCUUAAGUCAGGGGUGAAAUCCUGGAGCUCAACUCCAGAACUGCCUUUGAUACUGGGAAGCUUCGAGUCCGGAAGAGGUGAGUGGAACUCCGAGUGUAGAGGUGAAAUUCGUAGAUAUUCGGAAGAACACCAGUGGCGAAGGCGGCUCACUGGUCCGGUACUGACGCUGAUGUGCGAAAGCGUGGGGAGCAAACAGG